UACAGAGGGUGCGAGCGUUGUCCGGAAUCACUGGGCGUAAAGGGUGAGUAGGUGGCCUGUUAAGCGUGUGGUGAAAGCCUGGGGCUCAACCCCAGGUCUGCCGUGCGAACUGACAGGCUUGAGCAGAGUAGAGGCGAGUGGAAUUUCGGGUGUAGCGGUGGAAUGCGUAGAUAUCCGAAAGAACACCGGUGGCGAAGGCGGCUCACUGGCCCGGUACUGACGCUGAGGUGCGAAAGCGUGGGGGAGCGAACAGG
rnacentral:rRNA from 1 species